UUACGGCCACAUCACGUUGAAAAACCGUUUCCCGUACGGUCACCGAAGUUAAGCAACGUCGAGACUGAGUAGUAACUGGAUGGGUGAACGUUUGCGAAUACCAAGUGCUGUAAG